rnacentral:rRNA from 1 species
AUUGAACGCUGGCGGCAUGCCUUACACAUGCAAGUCGAACGGCAGCACGGACUUCGGUCUGGUGGCGAGUGGCGAACGGGUGAGUAAUGUAUCGGAACGUACCUUUCAGUGGGGGAUAACGUAGCGAAAGUUACGCUAAUACCGCAUAUUCUGUGAGCAGGAAAGCAGGGGAUCGCAAGACCUUGCGCUCAUUGAGCGGCCGAUAUCAGAUUAGCUAGUUGGUGGGGUAAAGGCCUACCAAGGCUACGAUCUGUAGCGGGUCUGAGAGGAUGAUCCGCCACACUGGAACUGAGACACGGUCCAGACUCCUACGGGAGGCAGCAGUGGGGAAUUUUGGACAAUGGGGGCAACCCUGAUCCAGCCAUGCCGCGUGAGUGAAGAAGGCCUUCGGGUUGUAAAGCUCUUUCGGCCGGGAAGAAAUCGCAUAGGUUAAUACCCUGUGUGGAUGACGGUGCCGGAAUAAGAAGCACCGGCUAACUACGUGCCAGCAGCCGCGGUAAUACGUAGGGUGCGAGCGUUAAUCGGAAUUACUGGGCGUAAAGCGUGCGCAGGCGGCUCUAUAAGACAGAUGUGAAAUCCCCGGGCUCAACCUGGCAACUGCGUUUGUGACUGUAGGGCUCGAGUGCGGCAGAGGGGGGUGGAAUUCCACGUGUAGCAGUGAAAUGCGUAGAGAUGUGGAGGAACACCGAUGGCGAAGGCAGCCCCCUGGGUCGACACUGACGCUCAUGCACGAAAGCGUGGGUAGCAAACAGGAUUAGAUACCCUGGUAGUCCGCGCCCUAAACGAUGCCAACUAGGUGUUGGGGAAG